AUGCGCACCAUCAUCCGUUUGCACCCGGUGGUUCCGCUGCUUGUGCCUCGGGAGUCCAUUGUCGCAUGCACCCUUGGCGGCUAUGACAUCCCGGCCAAGACCCGCAUCUUUAUCAACACUUUUGCCAUGGGCCAGGACCCGGAGAUUUGGGAGGACCCGCUAGAGUACUGGCCAGAACGGUUCGAGAUCGCCGGCGGCGAGAUCAACCUCAAGGAUCGGGACUAUAAACUGAUGCCGUUUGGCGGUGGUCGGCGAGGGUGCCCACUGCCCAGGCUACACGUUCGCACUGCCCACUGUGCAGUUAACGCUGGCCAAACUGAUGUAUCACUUUAA
rnacentral:rRNA from 1 species